rnacentral:lncRNA from 1 species
AACAUCUUACUAUAAUCUACUACCGUGUUAUUAGAUUAACUGUGAGAACUAUAAAGUGAUAAAACAUAUUGUCCCGUUAGCCAUGAUUAGUAAACAACUGUUGUGAAUGUCACAGGAACCUAACCUCGAAACAACCUCAUAAUAACUUCCGGGAAUGAUACAGUCAACCCUUCAUUCAAUAAUUAAGUGCUUCAUUGCGUAGGCCAUAGGCCUGCUCUAUAUUUAUGAAGUUUCAUUAACCGUUUUGCUUGAAACCUUGAGAGUAUGUAACAUUAUAUCGUCCAAACUAUUUUUGGCUCAGCUUGGCAGGAAUCUCUGAAAUCUGUUUCAUAAUAAAAGAAAUAUUGUCGAUAAUAAUGUUUAAAGACUAUUCCUACAUACUAAUUUAUUUAAAAAAGACUAGUUUUUGUUAUCAAAAACAGAACAUUCCAGUUUUGGGAACUUUUUAUUAUUCACUCAUUCAUUUCUCACAUAAAAAUGUGAUAAUCUUAAUAAUAAGACUACUGAUUAUCCUGCUUAAUCUCUGUAGUGCGGUGUUAUCAAAUAAAUAACAAGUUAUUAAGAUAAUUAUUUUGACUCAUUAGCAUUAAGAUUUAAUUGCAGUUUUAUAUAAAAUUUACAACGUUGCCACGUUCGGGCUAAUGAUAACACGAGUGAAUGUGAUACGUGACUGUCCUAAUACAACUCAAAUUUAAAUUUAAACUUUCAGUUUUUAUUUUAGAAUUUGGGAAUUCAUUGGGUAUUUUUAGUACGCAUUCAUGGACCGUUUGAAAACUAGUAAAAUGAGCCGUUUUCAUAUUUUUCAGUUAGAAAUGAUUGUCAGUAAGAUAUUCUCCAAAUUAUAAUCCAAGUUUACUCUACGGUUGAUCCAAUAGUAAUAUAGAAUAUACUUCA